GGAUCAGCUCUAAGUCAGUGCUGCAGGGAUCACUUCCAUUUUGAGCAGGCUUUCAGUGUUGGGAGACAUUUCUUCUCCUUUUAUCAUCUGGUCCUCUUGCUCUGUGACCCAGGGAAGAAGGCAUGCUGUGGGCUCUAGCCCUACUUCUAGCCAUCCUGCCUCCUGGCAGUCAAACAUCUUCCAGUUUGGAAAGGAGAAUGAUAUCAGUCACGAGUUCACCUGGGUCAAACGUAGUAAUCACUUGUGAUUUAUCAAGUACCUACAUCCACUGGUAUCAAUUCAAGGAAGGGCAGUUCCCACGACGCCUCCUCUACUAUAAUAAUUACAAUUACAGGGUUGUGGUGGACUCAGGAAUCAGUUCGACGAAAUAUGAUGCUAAAAUAACAGAUGGGAGUUAUCAAUUAAUAAUACAAAAUCUUGGUGACAGUGACUCUGCUGUGUAUUACUGCGCCUACUGGACUAGCACAGUGGUUCAGACCUGCCUUUAUCUAUACUCAAAAUGUUGCUAUGUCUGCCUCUGGUACACAGAUAGAGAUCAGCCCCAUCCCAUUUCCUGCCUCUGA